ACGAAUUCAUAUGAAUUGUUUUUUUUUCUUAGAAUCCAUCCAAUACAUCGAUUGCCGUUCUCAUUCCGGCCAAUGUUUCCACACAGAACCUGAUGCUGAAUCUUUUUUAAUGAAAAAAACAAACCAAAAAAAAGCAAUUGAUCCGAAUUUAAAUUGGGUACCAAACAAUGAACGGAUUGAUUGGACAGCAGCUAAAGAAGCUAUUCGCUUGUUUUUUUCAACAAAUAAUAAAAUCUAUGGAUGGCAAAAUAGGCAAAAAUUUUACCCUCAUAUCUAUGUACAAAAUUUGCCAUUUGUCGUACUUCAAUUUCAGAA